UGGUGCAUGGCGUGGCUUUGU
rnacentral:piRNA from 1 species